AACGAACGCUGGCGGCAUGCCUAACACAUGCAAGUCGAACGGGACCUUCGGGUCUAGUGGCGCACGGGUGCGUAACGCGUGGGAACCUGCCCUUAGGUUCGGAAUAACUCCCCGAAAGGGGUGCUAAUACCGGAUAAUGUCUUCGGACCAAAGAUUUAUCGCCUUUGGAUGGGCCCGCGUUGGAUUAGCUAGUUGGUAGGGUAAAAGCCUACCAAGGCGACGAUCCAUAGCUGGUCUGAGAGGAUGAUCAGCCACACUGGGACUGAGACACGGCCCAGACUCCUACGGGAGGCAGCAGUGGGGAAUAUUGGACAAUGGGCGAAAGCCUGAUCCAGCAAUGCCGCGUGAGUGAUGAAGGCCUUAGGGUUGUAAAGCUCCUUUACCCGGGAUGAUAAUGACAGUACCGGGAGAAUAAGCUCCGGCUAACUCCGUG
rnacentral:rRNA from 1 species